rnacentral:piRNA from 1 species
UGCUCUGGAGAUAUUUGCUCAACCACAUAGA